rnacentral:rRNA from 1 species
GACGAACGCUGGCGGCGUGCUUAACACAUGCAAGUCGAACGGAAAGGCCCUGCUUUUGUGGGGUGCUCGAUUGGCGAACGGGUGAGUAACACGUGAGUAACCUGCCCUUGACUUUGGGAUAACUUCAGGCAACUGGGGCUAAUACCAGAUAGGAGCUCCUGCUGCGUGGUGGGGGUUGGAAAGUUUCGGCGGUUGGGGAUGGACGCGCGGCUUAUCAGCUUGUUGGUGGGGUAGUGGCCUACCAAGGCUUUGACGGGUAGCCGGCCUGGGAGGGUGACCGGCCACAUUGGGACUGAGAUACGGCCCAGACUCCUACGGGAGGCAGCAGUGGUGAAUAUUGCACAAUGGGCGGAAGCCUGAUGCAGCAACGCCGCGUGCGGGAUGACGUCCUUCGGGUUGUAAACCGCUUUCGCCUGUGACGAAGCGUUUGUGACGGUAAUGUGUAAAGAAGCACCGGCUAACUACGUG